UGAGGAAUAUUGGUCAAUGGGCGGGAGCCUGAACCAGCCAAGUCGCGUGAGGGAAGACGGUCCUAUGGAUUGUAAACCUCUUUUGUCAGGGAGCAAAAAGGGCCACGGGUGGCCCGUCGAGAGUACCUGAAGAAAAAGCAUCGGCUAACUCCGUGCCAGCAGCCGCGGUAAUACGGAGGAUGCGAGCGUUAUCCGGAUUUAUUGGGUUUAAAGGGUGCGUAGGCGGAAAGGUAAGUCAGCGGUAAAAUUGAGAGGCUCAACCUCUUCGAGCCGUUGAAACUGUUUUUCUUGAGUGGGCGAGAAGUAUGCGGAAUGCGUGGUGUAGCGGUGAAAUGCAUAGAUAUCACGCAGAACUCCGAUUGCGAAGGCAGCAUACCGGCGCCCGACUGACGCUGAAGCACGAAAGCGUGGGUAUCGAACAGG
rnacentral:rRNA from 1 species